ensembl:lncRNA
GGGGCCCGCCUUGAACACCCUGCAUACGGGCCCGUCGUUGCCUUGUUACGCCAAUGACUGGGUGGCUCUACUCUCCACAGUUGAACCAACCGGACUGGUCUAGGCUCAUCACUGGGUGGCUCUACUCUCCACAGCUGAACCAACCGGACUGGUCUAGGCCCAUCACUGGGAGGCUCUACUCUCCACAGCUGAACCAACCGGGCUGGUCUAGGUUCAUCACUGGGAGGCUCUACUCUCCACAACUGAACCAACCGGACUGGUCUAGGUUCAUCACUGGGAGGCUCUACUCUCCACAACUGAACCAACCAGGCUGGUCUAGGUUCAUCACUGGGAGGCUCUACUCUCCACAGCUGAACCAACCGGGCUGGUCUAGGUUCAUCACUGGGAGGCUCUACUCUCCACAGCUGAACCAACCGGGCUGGUCUAGGUUCAUCACUGGGAGGCUCUACUCUCCACAGCUGAACCAACCGGACUGGUCUAGGCUCAGCUGGGUGGGCUCUACUCUCCACAGCUGAACAUGUCCGGACUGGUCUAGGCUCAGCUGGGUGGGCUCUACUCUCCACAGCUGAACCAACCGGGCUGGUGGAGGUUCAUCACUGGGAGGCUCUACUCUCCACAGCUGAACACUUCUGGACUGGUCUAGGCUCAUCGCUGGGUGGGCUCUACUCUCCACAGCUGAACACGUCCGGACUGGUCUUGGCUCAUCGCUGGGUAGGCUCUACUCUCCACAGCUGAACACGUCCGGACUGCUCUAGGUUCAUCACUGGGUGGCGUUGGCACUGAAAGUAAAAAACGAGUCAUUCAAACCGUUUGGUAUAAAAGGUCAAAUCUGGUUCUCGUGCAGAAUUUCACGUAAAUCGACCAGCGGAAAAAUACUUGAAUGGUAACAGUAUUGAGAUGACAGCCCGUCCGGUACACUCAGACCCAGGCCAGUGUCUCCAUGCUAAAGCUAGUUAGCUGGGGGUCAGAGGGCUAAACAGCUAACGGCUCAGAGGGGGUCAGUCCUAAUGGGGGGCGACCACACAGCUACACACCGGAGUCCGUCUCCACGCGGAAGGUAUCGACACAAAGAAAGACAGACGUACAGAUCAGAAAGACACAGAUCAUACUGUAAAUUUAGUAGACAAACUUAUAGAACAUAGAUUUUAACCUCUUGAAAUAUACUCUCAUAUAUAUAUUUAGAUAUGCACUUCUUUUUUCAGAUGAAAUAAAUAUAUCCACAGAUGCAGUUAAUCGUUUUUUUUUUCUUAAAAAUAGACCAGCUUUACAAUUGCAGACACACAUGGACAAAGGGAGGACAGGAGGAGAGAAUGGAGAAGGGGAAGAAGAACUAGUCGGCUCAUUAGAAUCUAAAAAGAUAGCUUAGAGUUCCCUCUGCUAGCCGGCGCUGUGCUACGCUUCUGUCCAAUCGCGGCUUGAGUCAAUGAUUUCAGGCGGGAAGUAUUAGAUUGAGUCCAACUGACGCCUGCGGCGGACAUGUUGGAAAAUAACCAAAAGAUCCACCAAAGCGAUCUAAGAUUGCAGGUCUUCCAAGAACAGUCCUACCGAUCAUCCUUUGUGGUAUGAAAUUAAAGUCUGCUCUUCACCUGACUUCUGGUAGCAAAUGGUAAAGCGUUAAUGAUCCUGGUUAACAUACAGAUAUAUGCUUACAAUUUAUUUUAAAAGUUUGAAGAAUAAAUGAUCAAAUUGAGCAUUUGGGUUUUUAACAGAUAAGCACAGCUAUGUUACUGAAACCAGAAAGAAUAUAACCGUAGAUAUCAAAAGCGAAAACAAUUUUCUAUAAUACUACCCAACUCCACAAAUAUAUAUUAUGAGAUAUAGCUAGAUUUCUUUUUUUAAAUAAAGACAAACUUUACACAUCAAAUUCCUGUUUUGAAUUUCAACUUUCAUUCUUUUUCCUGCGUUCUUUGACUGAAGUAAGUUAUGGCUCGGACGCAGCUCAGGGUAAAGCAGGAGCUGAUUAACGAUAAUCAAUAAUAAUAAUCAUUCAACUUGUUCUGGGGGCAGCGGUCAGCGCUGGUGCGAUGCUAACGCGACGCCGCGGUGUCAUAAUGCUCACGCUGGCCCCUCGGCACGGGAUGAGGACUAAGAUUACUUUAGUUCUCGCUAAUGUCUUGACAUCAGAGUGUAGCGGCUGGUUGCAGCUCAAAUGUGACUCGAGGAUGGAAUAAAAAAAUAUUCUGCUGCGCUGUUUUUUUCGGAGCUGCUACUCUAUUCUUCCAACUUGGUUUUGACCACAUUUUCACUAGUUUACCUUUUAUUUUUCAUCACACGUGACCGUUGCGCACAACGUUAUCCGACAUCUUCCCAACAACUAGAAACUUUUUUCACUGAAGCAUGAAGCCAACAAACGCCAGGAGACUGAAGAACACACGAUACGAUUCCCUGCGCAAAUAAGAGUCAUCUUAUCUGGACACAAAAAACAAACAACAAUUUAGCACCAUCUAAUAUUCAAACGUAUUUCACCUCCAGGCAUCUCUAGCACUUCUCGUCUCUGAGGAUUCAUUCAAUGCACAGCGUGUUUGAUUCAGACCCUCCAUUAGCAUCAACUGGCUCAGGUAAACAGAGAGAGGAAAAUAAAGUCAUUUUAAACAAGAUGGCCGCCUGCCGAGGUGUGAUGGCAGAGCAGCAGAUCCCUCGCUGUGCGCCCUGGCCAACGCUCGCGGCUAACGCUCGCGGCUAACGCUCGCGGCUAGCUGGACGUGGCGCCGGCAGGGUUGGGUAGGGAGGGGCCGCUGAGUGGUGGCUUCCCCAAGGGGGGUUGAGAGGGUUUCAUGAACCUCAUGGCACAGUGCUUUACAUCUUAUUAGGCUUUGAUACAUUUGUCUUGAUACACCAAACACCACCGAUUACAGCCACAACUAGACAGAGGUCAAAUAAUGCUUUCAAACAACAGAAACUACCAACGUGAAAUGAGAGACCAACGUAUUGCUCGAGAGAAAAGGUUUUUCCAGCGGACACAUCGAGGCGUUUGUAUAAAGUGGACGUUUGUCGUUCUCCGUGUCCGUACGCUCGUCUGUUGUCCACGUGUGCGUGUGCUUGCAAGAAUGUCAAAUGGAAAAGGCUUCCAUGGGAUUAGAACACAGUAGCUAACAUCACAGAUUAACGUGUUUGAGUUUGGCACGCAGCUCGUCAUUAAGCUAGCUGAAUAUCAGUCACAGUGGACUUACCCUGUUGUCGAGGAAACACAGCGCUGAAAACACAACGAGGAGGCACAGCGAGGGGAGGAGGAGGAGGAGGGGGAGGAGGAGGGGAGGAGGAGGAGGGAGGAAGAGGAGGAGGAGGAGGGGAGGCGGAAAAAGGAACUGAAAAAUCAAACAAAUCCAGAAUUCCGGAGAAGCAAAGCUAACGGGAAAUAGAGAAACAAACGAAUAAACAACAGGGGUACGAAAUAAACAACACAACCCAUCAGUAAUUAAAGCGCUGAACCGGCAUGACGAAACAAUACAGUGAGGACCGACCCGUAGUCCGUGUCCUCCCCGCAGGACAGGACAGACGACGGACCCGUGGUCCCCGUCCUCGCCACCCGGCUGCCUGGGCAACAGGUGGCUCAACACCACCCGGCUGCCUGGGCAACAGGUGGCUCCACACCACAACACCGCCUGGAGGGCGUCCCAGCUCCGCAGGGUGUAAACAGUCCGUAGAGGGGAAAGCAAAGGGGAGCGAAGCGCUUCAGUCCAUCAGAAAGAAGAAGAGGGUGAACAAACACUCCCUUCUUUGUGAGCGCCAGGUUGCGUGGCAGGCUUCUGAGAGCGGUGAACACAGUGGUACAAAGGUUGUGAGCCCUCAGGAAGCGUCGGAACCUUGUGGACGUCUGACAGCAGCACCCUAAGCCCUUGACCGGCGGUCGCAGAGGAAUCCCAGCGGAUGGUUUGGAGUGUUCGUGUCGUGCUGUUGUCGUCGUGUUUCUGUCCGUAAACGGGAGGCGGCCGCCGUCUCCAACUCUUCAGCUCUAUGGCGUGUGAUUGGCUCAAUGUCGUUCGCCGGUUCCUCGUGGGUUGUGCCGGAGCUCUUGUUCUAAGGAAGGGCUCAGUGUCGGUGACGAGGUCCCCCCGGCGUGGUCCCCGAGACAGACGCUCCCCUCCCGCGGGGCCUCACACCGCGGGGCCUCACACCUCGCUCUCCACGCUGGAGAACUGGGCCGAGCCCCUCCGGGAGCACAGGCUGCGGGCCUCCAGCGGAAGGCGGGGCGACGGGGGGCGCCGGGGGGGCCCGCCGCGCAGCCUCUGGUACUGCAGCUUGGCACUCGCUGAGGCCACGGAGGCGGGCUGGGGGGCCUCGGGGGUGAAGGAGACCCCCGAGGGGGAGGACACCGAGGAGGACGA